rnacentral:lncRNA from 1 species
UACUUAUACAAAUCUGGACUUAACCCCAAGGAUAUACUAAACAUUAAUGAAAGAAUAAAAAAAAAUAGCUGUAUUAACAUUUUUGCAAAAAAUAAUUAUUUAACAUCUAACGAUUUUGAAUAUUAUAAUUCUUUGUAUUGGAUAAAAAAUCAAAUAAAUGAAACAACUAUUCGUUUAUUGUUGAAUUAUAAAGCGUACAAAAUUAAUAAAAUAAAAAAAGUAGAUAAUAAUAACAUUGCUAAGGCUCAAACAGUAUCAAAUCGUUUACAUGCACAUGUGCCUAAACAUAAAAAUACAAACUCCUUAAUUUUAUUAAGUAAUUAUACAUUUUUAUAUUUACCUGAUUCUAUUAAUUCGGAUAAUCAAAUUAAAGUUGAUCUUUUAAGCAUUAAGGGCGACGAACAAAACCCUAAUAAUUUUUUUAACAAACGUGCUUUGCAAAAUAAAUCAGAAAGCAUUAAACAAGGUGGCACUAGCAAAGCGCGUGGCACUACCAAAACUUCUAGCACUACCAAAACUUCUAGCACUACCAAAACNNNNNNNNNNACUACCAAAACUUCUAGCACUACCAAAACUUCUAGCACUACCAAAACACCUACCACUAUCAAAACGGGAGACAGUACCGAACAAAAUAGUAGUACGAAAAACGAAGACACAAAUUAUCAGAUUGUAAAUCUUUACGCAUCAGACACAAACAAACAUAACUACGUCUAUAAUAAACGAAUUUCCUACAAAAUAACAAAUUAUAUAAAUAAAAAUGAAUUAUUAUAUUUUUAUAUGAAAUUAAAAUUUAAUUAUAUGGAAUUUUUAGGAAUUAACAUUAUGAAAAAGAAAACUAGCAUAGAUGAUGUAAUAUAUAUGCAUAAAGAAAUAAAUAAAAUAUUAAAUGAAUAUUUAUAUAUAUUUAAUAAGGAUAUAUUAUUAUUUAAUUAUAAAUUUUUAUAUAACCUUACCUACAAUAUUGAAUAUAUUUAUAAAAACUAUAACGAAAAUAAUAAUUCGGAUAACGAUUAUCACUAUAUUCAUAACAUUAUAAACAAUUUGGCAUAUAUUAUAUAUAUUGUUAUUCUUCAUUUGUAUAUUAAUAUUACUAAAAACUCAUCAUGUUAUUGUAAUACUAUUCACCACGUAUAUAUAAAUAAUUUUUUUUUCUUACUGCUUCAGAAUAUGUUUUACAUAUUACUUUUUGAAAACAAGAGUAAAUUGUAUCGAAAAAUACAAAAGCAGAGAGAAAGAGAACAUGGCCUUACACGGUAUGAUCCGACACAGUUACAAAACCCAAUUAAACGUACACUCAUUCAUUCGAAUACGACAAAUAUACUUCCUAACAUUUUAAACUACGUCAAAGGAACAAACGAAAGCACUAGUGAUAAAAAAGCAAACAGUAUGCUUGCAAUGGAUCAUAUAAAUAUAUCUUACUAUUAUAAGAACGUAAAAAAAUAUAUAAAGGAGGCACAAAUGGGUAACCAUGGCAAUAACAUAAACAUGGGCAAUAACAUAAACAUGGGCAAUAAC